rnacentral:lncRNA from 1 species
GCCGCAAGCCCGAGCUUGGCCGUCCGGACUCCGUAUUACUUUGGAGAUGUCACUAUCUUCCUAACCUGUGUCGGGAGUCUUUUUAGAGGUCGGGGGUGUUUGGUAGGAACUCCCGUCUCCGUCGGGACGAAGUCCUUCAGGUCUUUGGUGCGGUUCGUCCUUCAUCUGUUUCCACUGUAGUUCGUCACCCUUCCUUUUUAAUUUUCCUCUUCUCC